rnacentral:tRNA from 1 species
GAGGGUACAGCUCAGUGGUACAGCAUAUGCUUAGCAUGCACAAGGUCUUGGGUUCAAUCCCCAGUGCCUCCA